rnacentral:rRNA from 1 species
GGUUUGAUCAUGGCUCAGAUUGGAACGCUGGCGAUGCUUUACACAUGCAAGUCGAACGGCAGCACGGACUUCGGUCUGGUGGCGAGUGGCGAACGGGUGAGUAAUGUAUCGGAACGCGCCGUUAGCGGGGAUAAUCACGCGAAAGUGUAGCUAAUACCGCAUACGCCCUUCGGGGGAAAGCGGGGACUUUCGGGCCUCGCAAUUAUUAGAGCGGCCGAUACUGGAAUUAGCUAGUUGGUGGGGUAACGGCUCACCAAGGCGACGAUCCGCAGCCGGUUUGAGAGGACGACCAGCCACACUGGGACUGGAAGACACGGCCCAGACUCCUACCGGAAAGGCAGUGGGGAAUUUUGGACAAUGGGGGGAAACCCUGAUCCAGCCAUCCCGCGUAAAAGUGAUGAAGGCCUUCUGCUGUAAAAAAGACCCUUGGCAGGAAAAGAAACGGCACGGAUAAUACCCCGUGCAACUGACGGUACCUGCAGAAUAAGCACCAGCGAAUCACGUGCCAGCAGCCGCGGUAAUACGUAGGGUGCAAGCGUUAAUCGGAAUUACUGGGCGUAAAGCGUGCGCAGGCGGUUCGAAGAAAGAUGAAUCCAGAGCUUAACUUUGGAACUGCAUUUUUAACUACCGAAAGCAGAGUGUGUCAGAGGGAGGUGAAUCGCGUGUAGCAGUGAACGCGUAGAUAAGGCAGAGGAACACCGAUGGCGAAGGCAGCCUCCUGGGAUAACACUGACGCUCAUGCACGAAAGCGUGGGAGCAACAGGAUUAGAUAAUUGGUAGUCCACGCCCUAAACGAUGCCAACUAGCUGUUGGGGCCUUUCAGCCCGGUAGCGCAGCUAACGCGUGAAGUUGACCGCCUGGGGAGUACGGUCGCAAGAUUAAAAAUCAGUGAAUUGACGGGGACUCCGCACAAGCGGUGGAUGAUGUGGAUGAAUUGAAUGCGGUCCUGAAAACCUUACCUACCCUCGGACAUGUCUGGAAUCCUGAAGAGAUUUGGGAGUGUCGCAUAAGAGACCGGAACAGGUAGUUGCAAAGGCUGUCGUCACCGAAGCCGGGAGAUGUUGGUUAAGUCCCGCACCAGCGCAACCUUCGCUAUUAGUUGCUGCCGAAAGGGCACUCUAAUGAGACUGCCGGUGACAACCGGAGGAAGGUGGGGAUGACGUCAAGUCCUCAUGGCCCUGCAGGCAGGGCUUCACACGUCAUACAAUGGUCGGGACAGAGGGUCGCCAACCCGCGAGGGGGAGCCAAUCCCAGAAACCCGAUCGUAGUCCGGAUCGCAGUCUGCAACUCGACUGCGUGAAGUCGGAAUCGCUAGUAAUCGGUGCACGAUCAGCAUGUCGCGGUGAAUACGUUCCCGGGUCUUGUACACACCGCCCGUCACACCAUGUGGGAGUGGGUUUUACCAGAAGUAGUUAGCUCAACCGUAAGGAGGGCGAUUACCACGGUAGAUUCAUGACUGGGGUGAAGUCGUACAAGGCAACCUCUGUUACUUUGGUUCGAUGCU